CAGAGGUUGGACUGGGUGAUCUUGGAGGUCUCUUCCAACCUAGAUGAUUCUGUGAUUCUGUGUGAUAAUCUUGAUGGACUUUAGAAACCUAAAUGAUUCUGAUUCUGUGAUUUCUGAGUGGGCAUCAGAGAUGCUCCCUACAUGUGUUGCUCACAGGUGUGUGUGUGUAGGCAGAGAAGGAUCUGAUGAAUGUGGUGUCCAGGAGACAAAAACUCCUCGUUGUGCUGACCUGUGACUUUUUGUGGCACCUUUCUGUCACCUGUGUGACAAUGAGGAGGACAGGAAAGGCAACGCAAAUCAGAGGCUGAAUGUCCAUUUUGUGCUAAAGAAUGAGAUUUAAAGUUAGGGAGAACUGCAGUAAUUAGAUUCAAAGGGCAGAGAAAACAGUAGCAUGUUCACCAUGGAAAUAAGCCAUCUGAAAAACCAAAUGGAUCCCUGGUGUAAUUUUAUGAGCUUCAGCAAAAUUAGUGCGGGAUCAAUAGCAGGCAUUGAACUGAAAGUUUUCAGGGGAGAAAUAUUAAGUGCACACGUCUUUGCCUGCUGUGGAAUGGAUAAUGUAUUUCUCCUGCUUUGUCAUCUGCAGGCUCAAAGGCUAUCUGGGAUUGGCAUCCAUUUGUUCUUCUCUUGGACAAGAUAUACAUGUUCUUGGGAGUCCAAGGUCCAGUUGUCUGUGUAUCUGGCACAGAAACAAUAUAAGGCAAAGAGCCUGAACUCUUCCUUCCCUCUGAGUGAUGGCUGGGAUGCCCAGGUCUUCAUUGAUCCUGUGCCAGUACUGAGCCAAGAAAAGUAUGAAUAUCUGGUUACUGCUUCAGCACAAUGGACUGAUUAA
rnacentral:lncRNA from 1 species